GACGAACGCUGGCGGCGUGCUUAACACAUGCAAGUCGAACGGAAAGGCCUUUUCGGAGGUACUCGAGUGGCGAACGGGUGAGUAACACGUGGGUGAUCUGCCCUGCACUCUGGGAUAAGCCUGGGAAACUGGGUCUAAUACCGGAUAGGACCGCACUUUAGUGUGUGUGGUGGAAAGUUGUUUCGGUGUAGGAUGAGCCCGCGGCCUAUCAGCUUGUUGGUGGGGUAAUGGCCUACCAAGGCGGCGACGGGUAGCCGGACUGAGAGGUUGGUCGGCCACAUUGGGACUGAGGUACGGCCCAGACUCUUACGGGAGGCAGCAGUGGGGAAUAUUGCACCAUGGGCGCGAGCCUGAUGCAGCGACGCCGCGUGGGGGAUGACGGCCUUCGGGUUGGAAACUCCUUUCGCCAGGGACGAAGCGUUUUGUGACGGUACCUGGAGAAGAAGCACCGGCUAACUACGUG
rnacentral:rRNA from 1 species